rnacentral:rRNA from 1 species
UACGUAGGGUGCAAGCGUUGUCCGGAAUUACUGGGCGUAAAGAGCGCGUAGGCGGAAAUUUAAGCGUGGCCUGAAAGCCCCCCGGCUCAACCGGGGGAGUGCGGCUGCGAACUGGGUUUCUUGAGGACGAUAGAGGAGAGUGGAAUUCCCGGUGUAGCGGUGAAAAUGCGUAGAUAUCAGGAGGAACACCCGAGGCGAAGGCGGCUCUCUGGGGUCGUACCUGACGCUGAGGCGCGAAAGCGUGGGGGAGCGAACGGG